rnacentral:tRNA from 1 species
GCUCAGGUGGUGGAAUUGGUAUACACGCAUGUUUGAGGGGCAUGUGCCGCAAGGCUUGCGGGUUCGAAUCCCGCCCUGAGCACCA